rnacentral:lncRNA from 1 species
AGCUGUAGGCACAAGAAAUAUCUAGUGAUGUCUUCAGUCAAUUGAGACGGAUCAGGAGGAUAAAAUUUCACAUUAAAAGUGAACAGCCAAGGUAAACUUCGAAUUUGUCUCUUAAUUUCCUUUGAAGAAUCUAGCCAGUUCUUCUGAUCUGAAUUCUCAUAAAACAACAGCCCAAAAUAGUCUUUUUCCAGUAAAUUGAGAUGUUCACACACUUUGUCAAAUAGAAUUUGUCCUUUUGCUUUUUUCUCUAGAUCACAGCUGUAUUCUGUGCCAUCCAGGAGCACCACUUUACACUGCACAGUUUUAAUUUUCUUAGGAGGUUUCUGGGGAAUACUUUCAGCUGUCUGCACUUCUUUUGUCUCCCUUUUUUCCUUUUCUUCUUUUUCUUCUGUAACCUUUUCUACUUCCAUUUCUUUACCAUCUUCUUUGGCAGGCUGUGUUUCUGCACUACUAACAGAGUGUUUUUCUUCUUUGUCAUCUGCUUUAGCAUUAUUUUCAGCAACUGUUUCUAAGCUCCUUUUUGGCUGAGCCAUCCCCUCAGAUGGAUGGCUUUCACUUUCUUCAGCUACUUGUUCUUCCCCUGUUGCUCUUUUCUUGGACUCAUCUUUGGGCUCUGCCAAGGUAUAGGAUUUUUGUUUCUUAAGCCAGGGAGGAAGGAAACGAGAAAUACCCUUGCUUUCAGAUGAAUCUUUUUCCUUCUUCUGGCUACUUGGGCUACUAGGGCUAGUUGGUGCUGGGACAGGAGAAUCUUGAGUUUCUUCAGAGGAUGCUUUCCUGGACUUAUCAUUUCCUGGAGUUUCUGAGGCUUCUUCAGGUUUGCCCUUAGCUUUGUCUGGUCCCACUUGCUCAGCAUCUUUCUUGACUUCAGUCUCUGAGCCAACUUCAGUUGUCAUUGUCACAGCUUACACUUUAACGCCACUGCAAGUCUUGAAGGCUUGUAGAACGCGAUCCAACUACGACAACUGGAUAACAGCCCAAUGUCUUCUUGAU